AAGUCGAACGAGAUCUUCGGGUCUAGUGGCGCACGGGUGCGUAACGCGUGGGAAUCUGCCCUUUGGUUCGGAAUAACAGUUGGAAACGACUGCUAAUACCGGAUGAUGACGAAAGUCCAAAGAUUUAUCGCCAGAGGAUGAGCCCGCGUAGGAUUAGCUAGUUGGUGUGGUAAAGGCGCACCAAGGCGACGAUCCUUAGCUGGUCUGAGAGGAUGAUCAGCCACACUGGGACUGAGACACGGCCCAG
rnacentral:rRNA from 1 species